rnacentral:rRNA from 1 species
AUGGGGAAGUUUACUGCUGUUGCUGCAUUGCACCUUUUACUUUUUAUUCCCACUUUGGCAUUGCACGCCCGUGCAUCUCAGGAGGCCCAUCUCACCAAAUUCAUUUUAUCUAGAAGAAGAAGCACCACCACCACCACCACCACUAGUGAUCCUACUUUAUAUGACAAGUCAGUUCUCGGCAGCCUCCGAACAGAUGAGUACCCCGCCUCCGACCACGGUGCUCUGAAGGUGGCCGACAAGAUCCCGGCCCUGCCAGGGCAGCCAAAGGGUGUUGACUUCGACCAGUACGGUGGGUACGUGAUUGUCGGCAGCCACAAUGGCCGCGCUCUCUUCUACUACUUCGUUGAAGCGCCCGGCGAUGCGACGGCGAAACCACUCCUCCUCUGGCUCAACGGAGGGCCUGGAUGCUCGUCGCUCGGCCAUGGAGCAAUGCGAGAAUUGGGUCCUUUCCGUGCAAACAGGGACGGCAAAACCCUCACGAGGAACAAGCAUGCCUGGAACAACGUCGCCAACGUCAUCUUCCUGGAAUCACCCGCCGGCGUGGGAUUCUCCUACUCAAACACGUCUUCCGACUAUGACAAGAUGGGGGAUCCAAUGGCUGCCCAGGACGCCUACGUCUUCCUCGUCAGCUGGCUCGACAUGUUCCCCGAGUACAAGGCACGCCCCUUGUACAUCACCGGGGAGAGCUAUGCCGGUCACUACAUCCCCCAACUCGCCGCCACCAUCUUAGCACACAACAGGGGUCUACCGAAGCGGAAGUGUAACCACAAGGGUAUCAUGGUCGGCAACCCUUACCUCGACAAGAUGAAAAACCUCAUAGGGCACUACAAGUACCUGUGGAGCCACGGUGCCAUCUCCGAUGAGGUUUGGGCUGACAUCGCUGGCGGCUGCAGCAUCAACGAGUCCUCCAUCAGUGCGAGGUGCUACCAGGCCAUUACCGAAUGUCAGGACGGCAUCCUGGAUCACGAUAACAUAUACGCUCCCACUUGCAUCAUCGCUUCCAACGGCUCCUACUACUCCAGCACUUACUUGCCCGGAUAUGAUCCAUGCAGCUAUGUGCCUACCAAGGACUACCUCAACAGUCCUCAAGUUCAGAAGGCUCUCCAUGCCAGAGAAACCAAAUGGCUCGAUUGCAGAUCCUUUGAGGACUUCAAGGACUCACCGGACACCAUGGUGCCAACAUUGAAACGGCUAAUUGACCACGGCCUGCCCAUAUGGCUCUUCAGCGGGGAUUUCGACUCCGUUUGCCCCUUCACCGGCACCAAGUACACGAUCCGCGACCUCAACCUCUCCGUUACAGAGCCAUGGCGUCCAUGGACGGCCGGCCACGAGGUAGGGGGCUAUGUCCAGCAGUACGCAGGAGGGUUCACCUUCGCCACCGUGAGAGGAGCCGGGCACAUGGUCCCGGCGUUCCAACCCGAGAGAGCGAUGAUACUGCUCCAGUCCUUUCUCACAGGGAUCCUCCCUGCAUUCACCAAGGAGUACUAG